AUAACAUCUACCAAGCCUCGUGAGUCCCACCCCUUUGGCAUUAAUAGUAUCACUUGGCCAGCCAAUUAGACGCCCAGUGUCAACUCAAUCUAUUGCUUGCAUGGUGGAGAGAUUGUUUAGACAUCCCAAAUAUAGCAACAUCAUAUUUUUCUCAGCAAAGCAAUGAGAUGUAUAAUUACUAAUUUUGAGCUUUAUCAGUAUCUACUACUGUGGAAUCUUGUUAAGUUUGCAAUAACAAUAAUCAUCGAACUUUUUGGACGUGUACUUUGCUGGAUUCUCUCCAUUAACGAGCUUAGGGUGAGGACCUAUAGUGAACCGGAAUGGAGGCUCUAGGAACACUGGCCAUGACAUUCUUGCCUUUUCUUUGUUCACUG
rnacentral:misc_RNA from 1 species